CAACAUUUUAUCCGUCCGAUUUUUUGGAUGGCCCUUUCCCUCGGAAAUGUUUACCCAAUUUUUGGAUGUGCCAGUAAAUGGAAAAGUGAAAAAUCGUUUAUGAAUUUCGUGGGCUUUUGUUUUGAUUGCGACAAUACGUGAGAAGCAAUUAUACGGCGGCACAUGAAAGUGAGAUCCGGAAAUUGGCUUGAGUUUAUGUACAUGUAUACGCAUAAGAAGACCUUGGUUUUCCUGGAGUUCUGGGCGUGCAAACCGCAGGCAUUAAAGGGACAACUUUGUGCUCCCUUCAACUUUUGCCUCAUUUUUGUUUCUUUCGCUGGUUAAUUUUUGCGCCUCGCGAAAAGAAACAAAUUUUCAUGCAAAUGGAAAUGGAAAAUGCAAAUUAACAAGUUCCUUAAUGGCCUUGUGGGCGUAAGGGGGAGUGGCGGUUGCUGGUGUACACCUAUGGCUGUAAAACUGUGAGCUGAUUUCAAUUAAAAGUUGAGAGGAACGCAAGCGUCAGUGCUUCUAAAACUAUUGUGCAUAAGAAACCGUUUU
ensembl:ncRNA lncRNA:CR45344 long non-coding RNA:CR45344